GCUGGGCACAAUGGCGUACGCCUGUAAUCCAGCAGCUUGGGAGGCUGAGGCAGGAGGAUCUCAAGUUCAAAGCCGGCCUCAGCAAAAGCGAGGUGCUAAGCAACCCAGUGAGACCCUGUCUCUA
rnacentral:sRNA from 1 species